CCUUGAGCAUGAAAGAACAGUUCAUAAUACCACUUAAAAAGUCACCUGUGGUCGGCUUUUUGUUUUUACCUGGAAUUUUUCCUUUCUGUUGCCCACUGCAGUUUGAGAGAGAACCUGGAGUAGAGGCCAUUUGUCUUUAUCCCUUGGAGGCUUAAUGUUUACAUUUUUUAAACGUUCAUUUUUAUAGAUUCCAGGGGUACGUGUGCAGGUGUGUUAACAUGGACAUGCUGCAUAAUGGCUACUAGUGUACCCAUCACCUUAGUAGUGGACAUUAUAGUCAAUAGGUAAUUUUCCACCUUUCACCCUCCUACUACCCUCUCUCUUUUGGAGUCCCGGGAGUCUGUUCUUUCCCUCUAUAUGUCCAUGUGUACCCAUUGUUUAGCUUCCACUUACGAGUGAGAACGUGUGAUACUUGAUUUUCUGUUUCUGAAUUAUUUCACUUAGGGUGAUGGCCUCCAACUCCAUCCAUGUCACUGCGAAAGACAUGACUUCAUUAAGGCCUAGAUAUUUCUGAUCUGAUAUGCUCAAAGAAGUUCAGAAACAAAAUAAGUAUCUCCUCAGGACUCCUUUUCAGCCUGUAAAGAUCCUUCACUGGCUCUUUAGAAUUUCUCUCAUGACUCAGGAUUCUUCUGAGAAUUUAGGGAUAGGUGGAAGUGGCUUCUGAGUGAUGAGUGGGAGCAGAUUUUCAAGGUGGUUUAGGUCUAGAUUAGCCCAUCAAGUCUCCACUGCUCUGAGGGUGGUAUGUCAUCUUAAGUGUGAACCUUUAGGAUACAAAAAUGGUAGAAGAACCAUGAGACAAGUAUUAAGUUCACUGAUGUGGCAAUUCUUAUCUUCAUUUGCUUCUACAGUUAAGUCUUCACUGGACUUUUAAUUAAGAUUUUAAAUUUUUGAGGGUAUAGAGUUUCCAUAAAAAGUCAGUGAUAAUAAAUUUUAUUUGACUUUCUACUUAUUCUGGAUUCUAAAACAGAUGGACAUAUAAACAAUUUACUUAUGGAUCAGUUUGAGAGAGGAAACACUAUUCAGAAGAUUUAAAUCCCAGAAUUUAAUCCAUUGCUUUACUGCAAGUUUACAGAAGACACAUUUGUCUUCACUUUUAUCUGCAGUAGUUGAUAUAUUGACUUUACACGUGAAAACUUACACUAAUGUUGCUUACCGACCAAAAUUAUUCCUGGGAGGUAAAGAAACCUUCAGAUUUUCUACAGUAACCACUGAUGGGCCCCCUAGCAGCCAUUUUAAACAUAAAUUUGAUGAUGUUGCCCAAACAGCCCCAGUCCAGUUCAACUUUCAGAUCCUCAAGCCUACCAUAGUCCUUUGUGUUUGGUAUUGCUUUCCUAUCCUUAAAUGUGGUAGCUCCUUGAGCACAGGGACCUGUGUUUUGAUUCACUGUGUCUGCAUACUUCACUUCGCAGAACAUUUUCAAGGUCCAUCCAUGUUGUAGCAUGUAUCAGAACUACACUCCUUUUGUGGCUAAAUAUUCCAUUGCCUGCGUAUAGCAUAUUUAUCCAUUCAUUUUUCAGUGGACACUUGGGGUAUUUCCACCUUUUGGCUCUUGUGAAUAAUGUUGCAAUAAAUAUUGGCAUAUAAGUAUCUGUUCAAGUACAUGCCUUCAGUUAUUUAGAUGCCUAAAAGUAGAAUCGCUGGAUCAUACAGUAAUCGUGUUUUGCUCUUUGAGGAACUGCCAAACUGUUUUCCACAGUGGCUGUACCAUUUUACAUUCCCACCAGCAAUGUAUAAGGGUUCACCAGAGAACCCUCAGAACAGAACAGAUACUUCACCAGAGAAGAUCAAUGGCAAAAAAAUCAGAAAAGAAAAAAAUGGAAAUGCAAAUUAAAGUCACAGUGAGAUAUCAUUAGAUACCAAUUAGAAUGGCUAAAGUUUAAAUGGCUGAAAAUACCAAUUGUAUCCUUAGAACAAUAUCUGGCACAAAGUAAGGUGUAGGCAACCAGUAAGUAUUUGUUGAGUAAAUGGAUUCAUUUCUGUAAUUUGCUACCGUGCCCACCUACCUAUUAGCAUCUGCAGUGGCAUACUGGCCUUCCUGCCAGUUCUUCUAGAUAAACUCUCCAAGGCCAGACCUUCCACUUGUAUUCCUCUUCCAAACUCCAUCACCUUGUGCCUGCUAAGACAAGCAGUUCUCUCCUCUCCUGCAUCAUCAAUUUUCCCCUCUUCUGGGUCAUUCCCUUCAGUAACAAACAUACUAUAGUUACCAUCUCUGAUUCUCUCUUUCCUUUUACAAUUCGGGAGUUGUCUAAACCAUACACCUGUAACCAAAUGAUUUUUGACAAGGUUUCCAAGUUUGUUCAAUGAGGAAAGAAAAAUCUUUUCAACAGAUGAUGCUGGAAUAACUGGAUUUCCACAAGCAAAAAGAGUGAAUUCAGAGCCCUAACUCACACCAUAUACAAAUGUUUACUCCAAAUGGAUCAGUGAAGAAUGGAUCAGACUUUUAGAAGAAACAUAGGGGUGUACUUCAUGACCUUUAAUUUGCCAAAGGGUUCUUAAGACACCAAAAGCAUGAAUAACAAAAGAUAAAUUGGACUUCAUCAAAAUUAAAAUUAAAAAAUUUUUAUGCACAAAAUUAAAAAUAUUUGUGCAUCAAAGGACAUUAUCAAAAAAAGUAAGGCAACCUACAGAAUGGGAGAAAAUACUUGUAAAUUAUAUAUCUGAUAAGGGAUUAAUACCAGAAUAUAUAAAGAACUACAAUUUAACAAAAAGUCCAAUUAAAAAUGGGCAGAGCAUUACUAAUUUCUUUAAUGAAGAUACAUGAAUGGCUAACAUAUUUUGAAAAGAGACUCAGAAUCAUUAGCCAUCAGGGCAAUGGAAAUUAAAACCAUAAUGAGGUACCACUUCACACUUACUAGGAUGGCUCUACUCUUUUAAAAAGUGGAAAGUAAGUGUUGGCAAGGAUAGAAAUCAGAAACCAGAAUGCACUGCUGGUGGGAAUGUAAAAUGGUACAGCCACGUGGAGAACAGUUCAGCAGUCCCUCAGAGCUAAACAUAAAAUUACCAUAUGACCCCUCAUUUCUACUUUUAGAUGUAUAGUCAAAAGAAAGUAGGGACUUGAACAGAUACUUAUAUGCUCAUAUUAAUUGCAGCAUUAUUCACAAUAGCCAAAACUUGGAAACAACCCAGAUGUCCAUUGAAAAGUGAAUGGAUCAAGAAAAUGCAUCAUAUAUGGGACAGUGGCAUACUAUACAGCCAUAAAAGGAAUGGAGUUUUGAUACAUACAACAUGAUGAACCUUGCAGAUGUUAUGCUAAGUGAAAUAAAUAGACACAAAAGGACAAAUAUAUGUUCCACUUACGUGAAAUACCUUGAAUAGUAAGGGCUGGAAGCCAGGUUGAGGAUGUGUCGUGUCCUGGGGCUCGUUAACCACAGAUUGUCCUGCAGGCCAGGCAGCUGCUCAUUGGAUAUGGAAUGCAUUUUGGGUGACGGCAGAGCCCUCAGGAAUGGGAUUAAUGCCCUUAUUAAAGAGGACUGAGGGAGCUUGUUUGUCCCUUCCAUCAUCUGAGGACACAGCAAGGAAACAGAGGAUCACAGUGUCUAUGAAGCUGGAAAUGGGUCCUUGGCAGACACCCAAUGUGACAGUGCCUUGAUCUUGGACUUCUCAGCCUCCAGAACUGUGAGAAAUACAUUUCUGUUGUUUAUAGGCCACCCACUUCAUGGCAUUUUGUUAUAGCAGCCUGAAUGGCCCAAGACAGGUGUUUAGGUCAAGGUUUGAUUUUUUGGCUUUUGUUUAUUUUGCCUAUGGAUGUCCAGUUGCCCAAUCACCAUUUGAUGGACAGGCUGGCUUUCCUCUCAUGAACUGCUUUUGCAUGUUUUCAAACAUCAGUUGAGCAUAUUUGUUUGAGACUGUUCUGUCCCAUUGAUUAAUAAGUCUAUCCAUUUGCCGAUACCGUGUGGAAUUUAUUAGGUAUGUAGUAAGUGUUAAAGUAGAGAUGGCAUUCUUGUUUUUCAAAAUUGCUUUAGCUGUCCUAGUUCCCUUGCUGUCCAUAUACAUUUUUAUUACAAGAUAAACGUGCACUUCUUAUUAUUUCAAAGUAUAGUAGUAAGAAAACCUCAGAGUAGCUUCAUCACAAAUACUGAGCUGUCGUUACUGGGAAAUCCAAACAGUCCUGCAUCAGAACCUGUUUUCCUGAUUAACCCAAUAAUAAAAUAGAGCAAAGGCUGGCUUUCUUGCUAAACAGGUUUCACUUUCUUAUUAUCAUCCUAGUCUCUGUGGCUUGGUAACAAGAAACCUUAAUGUGUUCACAUUUAUCUCUUCAUAACAAAUGUCUAUGACAUAGUUUGGUGGGGAGGAAAUGAAAACGCAAGCACAGAAAUCAGGGCUUGGUGAGGUUCAAAAACUCCAAAAUUUUCAUUCUAACUAAAUGAGUUGGGUAUAUAUUUCCAUUAUCAAUGAAAGGGGAAGGGGUAUUUUAAAUGAAUCAUAUUGGAGAAAGAAUGAAUGGACACAGAUGCACUUAUGCUUGCCUAGUUGUUGGAAAUAAUAUUUUUGAAUACAAAGAAUUAGGAUAAUCAAAUCACCAUCUUCAUCACUUUAAUUUUCUUAAUUUUAAACAUGAUGGCAGCCUCAUCACUGUCCUCUAAUUUGAAAUUUGUUAAGCAUGAGCAUGUGCUUAAAGUGCUGGUAUCUUUCACUUGAAAUGUGUAAAAUUAUAACUGGGACGAGGAGGUCUUUAGAAAAUACUGUAAGACUGUUAGAUAUUUUGUAGGAAUGUGAGAUUAAAUUCUCUAACCCAGAUUUUGAGUUAAAGAAAAAAAAUCCUCAUUUCUUACUGAAGAAUUUAAAACUAGUUUAUGUAUUUACAUAUAUAUAUAUUUUUAAAUUACCUACACUGUGAAAAGGUACCUUUAAACUAGUAGUUAGGCAUUGUUUUAUGGACAUAAAACAAGCAAAACUGAGUACGUUGAAUGAAAAUUUAGAAAUAAACCAUCCCAUUCCUGAGGAAUAUGAAUUACUAAAGUUUUAGUCUGAAAUGACUAGAUGAUAUAAUGAUAUAUAGCUUGAGAACUGAUAAUAGCAAGUAAAUGAAAGUCAAUUUAUUCAGAGAAUUGAAUGGGAAACUAAUAUCAUUUAAGCCUUUUCUAUAAAAAACCAUCAGCUUUAUGAAUCACAAAAUUAAAGAAUAAAUAAUACUAAGAUAAAAGUUUCCCCAUUAUAUUACAGAGAAAACCAUGUUCUGAGCUAUGGACUUUUAUACCUGGAUGUCUACUCUGAGGCCAUCAAAAGAACUCACUCAUAGAUCAGUGUGCCUCAUUUCAUGGUCUGCCUUGGAUUCCCACAUGCCCACUGAUCCAAAGUCUGUGGAAUAAGGAGGCAUCUUUCAGCAAAGAAGGCAGACAUGAAAGUGUACAUUGUGAUCUAAUUGUUACGAAGUUGAAGAACUGGCCAAACUGAUGUAUGUUGACAGGAAUCAAAACGGGGGCCACCUGUGGAGGGUGGACAGUGUUAUCUGAAAAGUUGCAGGGGAGAUUAUCUGUGUUAAUGGACAUGAGCCAUACAUUGAGAGGGCUGCUGGCUACUGAAAGGAAUAUAAAAUUUUAAAAAUUUGUGAAAUCAUGCAGUUAACAUCUGCAUACUUCACUAUAUUUUAAGUUUUUAUUAAUAUAAAAGAAUAAGAAAACAGAAUAGUAUUCCUGUUAAUAAUAGAGAAAAGUAUGUUUUAUUUACAAAUUUCUCCCUCUAGCCAAUCAUACAAUUGACCAAUUCAGGGUGCCCGCUGCUGGUUGGAUGCCAGGCGGAAUGUCAGGGUGUUCUCUGGUGUCUGUUGUGGCUGUGGGAUCCGCAGUUACUGGGUGGAGCCCUAUAGUGGCUGUGGUGCCAUGGAGGGGCUGCGAUCUUCUGUGGAGCUGGACCCUGCGCUGACUCCUGGGAAGCUGGAUGAGGAGAUGGUGGGGCUGCACCCUAUGACCCGAGUCCUCAAAUCACUUUCCACAGCCUCGAUGGGAAGACAGUGGUGUGUCCACACCUCACGGGCUUACUGCUGAGUCUCUUACUUUUAUUGACUUGUCUCUUAGGAACUGACUGUGUAAGAGGUGAAAGGCAACUUGCAGAAACACUGCAUUCACAGGUGAAGGAGGAAUUGCCAGCUCACUGACAAGAAAACAGAUUGUAGAGACUGAGGCAUCUUUAAAAGAUGUCAGAGUACAGAAAAAGUCUUUCAACACCCCCGGCUUUGUAGAUGCUUACAAGAAGGUGAAUAGCACCAAUGCGAUGCUGAUGGAGAAAUUCACGUCCCUGAUUUAAGAACUGAAAGAAGAGAGAUCCAGACUCUCCAGGCAACAAGAGGAGCUGGUAGAGAUGCUAACAACACUGGAGGCCCUGGGAGAGGCCAUGAGAGUCACCCAGUCACAAGGAGCUUUUCCACACCUGCCAGGCAGCUGAGAGCCAAGCCCUGCUGCUCCCUCCCCCACGAGGGGGCUGGGUCUUAGAGCAGCACUGUUCUCUGCCCUCCACUCAGGCCUCCCGAGCUGCCAGGCUCUGUUCCCACACUGACUCCAUCUGAGCAGUCCUUGAGGUCACUGGAUCCGGGGUACCCCGCCCCUGGCCUGGAGUUCCUCCUCCUUCUCGCUGUAACACCGCAGCCAGCUCCUCAAUGGGCGGUGCCUCCAAAUCUAAAGAAUACGGAGGUCCUGAAGCACACCAAGAAAUGGGGGACUUUCUCUUCACAGAAAGUUUGAAUUCUGUCUCAAUGAGACAGAAUGCCAUACUUGAGCACCUCAUCUUUUGCUCAAAUUGAAAUGUCAUCAAACUAUUUCUGAAGUCAAUGAUCUGUAAAUAUGAUUUAUGUAUUAAUCUCCUAAGUAAACAAUUUAUAUUUUACCAUCUACAUAAUUAUUGUAUUAUGUUUUAAAAAUAUAUUUAGUUUAUCAAUAAAGACAUUCAGUACUCAA